rnacentral:lncRNA from 1 species
GCGGGCACAGCCGGGCAUGGAGCAGUGUAAUUCACAGCGGUAUCGGCAGCCCAAGGCUGUCAACGUGCUGAUAAACUCCAGCUGUGUCAUCGGCUGGAGGCCACUUACUCUUCAAAUGCCUUGCAAAGCCUAUGGAAUCUUUUUUUGCCCUUUUCAUAGUCUAAAAGAUGUUGAGACGGCCUUCAAAGGUCCUCCUGAAGCCUCAGUGCAGUUUCUGAUGCUACCCAGAGUAGGCAGACGUGCUGGCAACAGGCUUCUGGAGUGGCUCACUUCCAGAAAAUCUUGUUACCCUCCAAGAACGCUGUUGGAGCUGUUAAAACCCCAAGAAGCAAAUAUUGUAUCACGCAAGUUUUACCUCGAGAACAGCGUGUCAUCCUGCCUGACCACAGAGUACGCCCUGCAAAGCCGGAGUACUUUCAGGUCCAUUAGAGCUGAAAUUCUCUCUCACUGCAGACUUUAA